rnacentral:rRNA from 1 species
CCUACGGGAGACAGCAGUGGGGAAUAUUGCACAAUGGGGGAAACCCUGAUGCAGCGACGCCGCGUGAGUGAAGAAGUAUUUCGGUAUGUAAAGCUCUAUCAGCAGGGAAGAAGAAAGACGGUACCUUACUAAUAAUCACCGGCUAACGACGUACCAGCAGCCGCGGUAAUACGGAGGGGGCAAGCGUUAUCCGGAUUUACUGGGUGUAAAGGGAUCGUAGACGGUUGUGUAAGUCUGAAGUGAAAGCCCAGGGCUCAACCCGGGGACUGCAUUGGAAACUGGGGAGCUAGAGUGAUGGAGAGGUAAGUGGAAUUCCUAGUGUAGCGGUGAAAUGCGUAGAUAUUAGGAGGAACACCAGUGGCGAAGGCGGCUUACUGGACAGUAACUGACGUUGAGGUUCGAAAGCGUGGGGAGCAAACAGGAUUAGAUACCCGAGUAGUC